CUUCAGCAGGCAUGCGCGCUGCCUUCUGGGCCAACUGUUGCGAGGCGCGAGGCGCUCGCCGGGCGCCAGCCAUUAGCUGUUUCGGUUUGCGCGCAAACGUCGAGUCUGGCUACCCAACUCAGGAUUUCCAGCCGGGACGCACAAACCUCGGGAGGGAAGACGGAAGCCGCUGCGACUCUAAAAGCAGCCCCAGGCUGGUUAAAGCGGUCCCCGGUUCGGAAACCGAGGCCUGAGUGCUCGGGCUUCACCUGGCCCUGCUGCCCGGAAGGCGCUGUCAGGCCUCCCUCCCGCUUUGGGGCUGGACCUGACAUCUCUUGUCUCGCGACCGCACUGAUCCAGGCUUUGACAUUUUCUCUCCAGCCCGCGACCCACGCAGCUCUGGAUUCCAGGCAGGAAGCUCGAGGGUCAGGGAAAGCACCUCUGCCGGUGAAUUAUUCACCCCGUAUUGAGUUAUCCUGACGCCCUGUGGCUUUGGGAAACCGCUCCACAACCAGGUGGAGCCACAGCUCUCCGCUAACGAAGCCUCACUCUGUCGCCCAGGAUGGAGUGCAGUGGUGCGAUCUCCGCUUACUGCAACAUCCGCCUCCCAGGUUCAAGUGAUUCUCCUGCCUCAGCUUCCCAGGUA